rnacentral:lncRNA from 1 species
AAUGAUCAAAACAAAACAAGAAGGAAAGAUUAAGAACAAAGAUCAAAGUGAAAGCAAGCUCAAGUGUUUGACUUAGGAUCCACUAUCAAUCAAAUCAAGGGACCCAAACAUAUGGCUCAAUAAGGGAUAACCUACCAUUGAUUCAAAGUGCCAAAAAUGAUCAAAUGAUCAUUUAUCAACAUGUUUGCAUCAAAGAAGAUUUAAUCAACCUCAAGUCCAUCUAUGGAUGACUUAAAAUGUAUA